GCAAUAUUAGAGUGGCGCACGGGUGAGUAACACGUAGCUUACCUACCCUCGAGAGCGGGAUAACGUUCCGAAAGGAAUGCUAAUACCGCAUAAGCUCACGAUCUGCAGAGGGUUGUGAGAAAAGGGAGCAAUUCGCUCGAGGAUGGGGCUGCGGCCCAUCAGCUGGUUGGUGAGGUAAAAGCUUACCAAGGCAACGACGGGUAGGGGACCUGAGAGGGUGACCCCCCACACUGGGACUGAGACACGGCCCAGACUCCUACGGGAGGCAGCAGUGAGGGAUAUUGCACAAUGGGCGCAAGCCUGAUGCAGCGACGCCGCGUGGACGAAGAAGGCCUUCGGGUCGUAAAGUCCUUUUGCGCAUGACGAGAACAAGGACGGUAGUGCGCGAAGAAGUCUCGGCUAACUACGUGCCAGCAGCCGCCGUAACAC
rnacentral:rRNA from 1 species